UACGAAGGGAGCUAGCGUUGUUCGGAAUUACUGGGCGUAAAGCGCGCGUAGGCGGCUUUGUAAGUUAGAGGUGAAAGCCCAGGGCUCAACCCUGGAAUUGCCUUUAAGACUGCAUCGCUUGAACAUCGGAGAGGUAAGUGGAAUUCCGAGUGUAGAGGUGAAAUUCGUAGAUAUUCGGAAGAACACCAGUGGCGAAGGCGACUUACUGGACGAUUGUUGACGCUGAGGUGCGAAAGCGUGGGGAGCAAACAGG
rnacentral:rRNA from 1 species